UACGUAGGGGGCAAGCGUUGUCCGGAAUUAUUGGGCGUAAAGCGCGCGCAGGCGGUUCCUUAAGUCUGAUGUGAAAGCCCACGGCUUAACCGUGGAGGGUCAUUGGAAACUGGGGAACUUGAGUACAGAAGAGGAGAGUGGAAUUCCACGUGUAGCGGUGAAAUGCGUAGAUAUGUGGAGGAACACCAGUGGCGAAGGCGACUCUCUGGUCUGUAACUGACGCUGAGGCGCGAAAGCGUGGGGAGCAAACAGGAUUAGAAACCCCCGUAGUCC
rnacentral:rRNA from 1 species